AAAUUGAAUCUCCGAUCCCGUUUUUCUAAAGCUUAAAUGCCAUGGAUGACGGGACGGUUCCCCCGAAAAGGGCGGACAAGGGUAGGACUGGAAACGGUCUUGCCUCCCGUGUUUGGAAAGGAGAGGUUGCGAUUAACUU
rnacentral:ncRNA from 2 species